UGCUGCUGCUGCUGCUGCCUCCUCAGCAUCAACAUCUGCUGGACCUGUGCAGAGGCCUGCUUUGAAUCUGGCUAUGUUUACAAAACCACGGUUUGGCGGGUCGCAUGGUGCUGCUUUGAAGCCAAAUUUAACUGUGGCUAGGAAGCCUGCAAAGCCCCUUAUUAGCACAUCGACCAGUGCCACCACAAACGUCGACACUGCAACACCAACAUCAGGGAGGACAUCAUCCCCUGCCCAGAGUCCCAGAAAACAUAUUAGGACCAGCUCCCCUUUCUCUCUUCCCCACUCUCCUCAUUCAUCAGCUUCAAUAAUCCCCCCAGCCACUGCUAAAGCUCCCCUUAUUAGCACAUCGACCAGUACCACCACAAACUUUGGCACUGCAACACCAACAUCAGGGAGGACAUCAUCCC